UUGACGUUGAACUUCUGUUUCCUGACCCUCUUACGAAGAGCCCUGAAGGCAAAGUUGCUUUGACAAUGAAGUGCCGGGAAAAUAUUUCUCCCCACUGAAGACCUGAUGCUUAGGUCCAAUGAGCCACGCGGGGCCUCCUCUCUGACUGGUUAAAGAAUGAGCCCCUCAACGAAGCUGAGCCCCCACUAAACCAACCAGCCCGGACAGUGAAGAGAGUCUUGGGACCGCUCCAGGCUG
ensembl:lncRNA